GGUGAAGGGACUGAGGCCUGAUCUUGGAGGGUACAUUGAGCUGUAGCACGUCCAGCUGAGGACCCUGGCUGAGCUUCCCAUUAUCCUUUCCCACGGCCUCCUUUUAAUACGACAGAUUUGAAGCUCACAGAAGUGUUGAAUUCAGGUCUCAUAUGAGCACUGCUAGAUUCAUUCAUUCAUCACCUAGAUUCCACAGUUUUGUCUCUAGUUCCUUUGUCCCCAUGUGAAUUUGUGUAUCUGUGUGUCUGUUAUAUGUAUACACACAUAGAUCUGUGUGUCUUUA